UAACGCUUGACUCUUGUCAGGGGAGUUUUGUCUUCUCCAGAGAAACAUUAACAGUCAGUACGGAUUCCUCACAGUGCUGGUGCUUUGAGCCGGCAGACCAGUGCAGACACCGGGUACAUCUCAAGACCUCUACCGAUACGACUAAAAAUAUCUGCACAUGAUGGUGCUUUGGGGAUAAACAGGAGCGGCUGAGCCAGACCCAUGGAAAGUCUCGUCCCGCAGGCUCGAAGCACGGGACAUCCCAUAAUCCCACCACAAGACAGAAGUCUCCCGCUGCGGCUUUUUCCGAGGCCCGGCCAGUUAUGUCUGAGCGUCUCGAAGUGUUCAGCGGCAGCCCGCAGGGAUCCGAUUACAGAGCGAGGUACCCAUACCCUGGUAGAGAAAUUUCCAGAACUAUCGGUGUGCAAAUUAUGAGGCAAUAUUUAUUUAUUUUUUUUUGAAAAGCAAAUUUACUCUGGCAUCAGCAGAUGGGCGGGAUGCUUCCUGCAGCCCCCCCACCCCCGCGGCCAGGGUUCGAAGUCCUGUCCAUCUCAUGGGUCUCAUGCAAAUAGGGGGUCAUGAACUACUGAAUGAGGUUUAAGUUCAACAUGAUUUGGGGACUGGAAUAAAAUCAUUGACGUUGGACGUUAGUCUGAGCAGGUCUCCACCGGCAACCAUGAUGCGUUUUUGCUGAUCGCCUUUGUUUCCCAUUGGACCGAUGUUACAUUUCCACAGAACACUCUUUGGUGUAACCCCCCCCCCCCAGCCCAGCACCCACAUUAUACUGCCAACUUUGCAGUCUGCAUUCAUCUGAAGCUCACG